GCCCUCGUAGCUUAACAGUCUAAAGCACCGGUCUUGUAAUCCGGAAAUUGGAGGCUAGACUCCCCCCGAGUGCC
rnacentral:tRNA from 1 species